rnacentral:lncRNA from 1 species
CUAAUUAGCUCCCAAAGGCCCCAUCUCCAAAUAGCAUCACACGAGGGGGUUAGGUCUUCAAUAUGUGAAUUUAGGGGAGACAGAAGAAAAUCUUCAAAAAAGACAAGUGCUCCAUUUUCUUGCAAGAUAAGAGUAUGUUUCCCAGAGGGGAAAAAAAGGAGAGAGGGAUCUCCAGACGGAGGUAAAUGUCCAAGAGAAAGCUCAGAGGCAUGAUUCCACUGUGGCACCUUGGAGAAUUACCUUUAGAUGAGAUCUAGACUGGGUGGGAGGUGGGGAAAGGGAGGUUUGACAAUGUGGCAGUGAUGAGAAAUGAACUUGGAGAGGUCUGCACAGGCUGGAUCAGGAAUGGAAGCUGUGGUUCACCAUCAGUUGCUACUUCUUUUCUGCUAACAGAACCCUGAUUCAGGUAGCAUACACAGAGCUCUUCAUCUCAGGGCAGGCAGUCCCUUUCUCAGCCUAGAGGGCAAAUCAUGACUGGUCUAAACUCAUUGGGUAAUAGUUCCUUUCUCCAAAGACUGGUCAAGGAAAAGACAUGCAAUCCAGUCUAGCCAAUAAAAUAUAAAGAGAAGUCUUUUGCCCCUCUUCUUCUUUCUGCUUUGAACAUUGAUGUGAUGUCUGGAGCUGCAGCAGGCAUCAUGUGACCAUGAGGGGUCAUGCAUGAGUGUUAAAAGCCAAACUGCUAAGGAUGGCAGUGCAAAAAGAUAGAAAGACACUGGAUCCUUGAUGACAAUACUGAGCCUUUGAACAAAUAUCAGUCAUCAUCUGUUUGUAGACUUGAUCUGGAGAAAAGUAAGCCUCUAUUUGUUUGCUAAGGACUUAUUUCUCAUGUAUUUGUUAAAAUUUAUGUUGCUGUGGACAAAAAAAAAAAAAAUGUACUAAGUGAUGCACAUGUCACACUAAAGUUUUCAGAUUUUAUCCUGAGGACAAAAAUGUUUUGAAUGGGAUUAGUGGGCGAGGAUCAAUGUUGUGUUAGAGAAUUUCGCAGGACACCAGUCCCUGGAAACUUUAUGACAGAUAGGAUAAAUGAGUGAGAUGAAAGAGGAGUCCAACUGGUAGGGUGUUAAAAUAGUGAUGAAGUGUGAUGAAAGCCCGAAAGAGACGAUGAGAGGAAUGGUAAGAAAAGUGAAGUCAGAAGUUAGAUGUUAAAGAGACAGAACCAAUAGAACUGGAUCACCAAUCAGAUGGGAGGGAUGAGGGGAAGGGAAGAGCAGGCAGCACUUAGACCUCUAGUGUGAAUGGAUGGAGGGUCCUGGUGAUAGUCCCCGAGGGGCAUAGGACAAAGGGCAGAUCAGGGGGAGGAGGAGAAAGUAAUUCAUGUCUUUUCAGGUACAUUGACUUUAGAGAGUAACCAGAAUUAAUGAAGCUCCACUGUAUCUAAAAUUUGCCUCAAUCAUGGAAUAAUCAGCCUUUGUUGAUAUGUCUGAAUCCACAAGCAAACCAUGAGAUCCUUGAGGACAGAAAAGGAAAAUUAUAAUAAAAGCAAACAUUCUCGUGUUAUGUAACAUAGGCCAGGAGCUGUUAUAAGCCCUCUGUUAAGGUAAGAAAACUGAGGAAUAAAGGGAUAAGUAACGAUCCCCAAAUUAGAAUGUUUCUGCUGAGGUACUGGGUUCAAGCCCAGUCAGUUAAAUGCCAGAAUCUGUGAAUUUAACCACAAUACUCUACCACCUCGCAGAGACAGUUUCCAUUUUGCCAACUCCUACCAGAAGACACUUUGCUUUUUUUGUUUUGUUGUUUUUUUGACUUUUGGUCUUUUCAGGGCCACACCUGCAGCAUAUGGAGGCUCCCAGGCUAGGGUCGAAUCAGAGCUGUAGCCACUGGCCUACACCACAGCCACAGCAACACAGGACCCAAGCCCUGUCUGUGACCUACACCACGGCUCACGGCAAAGCCGGAUCCUUAACCCACUGGGCGAGGCCAGGGAUUGAACCCACCACUUCAUGGUUCCUAGUCAGAUUUGUUUCUGCUGCACCAUGACGGGAACUCCCAGAGACACUUUCUUAAUUUAAAAAAUAUUAAUAAAAAUAUAUUUGUUAAGAGAUAUUCACAGAAACCUAUACCAAAUAUGGGGUAGGCCGUCUUGUGGCCCCCACAAAGAUGUCCAUGCUUGAAUCCCCAGAAAUUGAAUCCCUGGAAUAGAUUACCAUACAUGGCAAGAAGGAAUUAAAAUUGCUAAUCAGCUGUCUUGAAAGUAAAGAGAUGGUCCUAGAUUAUGUUCCACGGGUCCUUCGAUGUGGAGUCAAAGUCUCGGUGCUGUAACAGGAGAAAGACUUGCUGGCCAUCAUGGGCUUGAAAAGGAAAAGAGAGGCCAAGGAACAAAGACUGUGAGAAAUCACUAGAAGCUGGAAAGGAUUUUUCCCUAGAGUAUCCAAAAGAAACAAGCCUUGUCAGUGCCUUGAUUGUAGCGCAGUAACACCCGUUUUUGCUUUGUUUGUUUGUUUUUAUGGCCACACCCACAGCAUAUGGAAUUUCCCAGGCCAGGUUUCAAAUUGGAGCUGUAGCUGCAGGCCUACACCGGAGUCACAGCAACACUGGAUCCAAGUUGCACCUGUGACUUACACAGCAGCUUGUGGCAAUGCCUGGUCCAUAACCCACUGCAUGAGACCAAGGAUUGAACCCACGCCCUCACAGAAAUAAUGUCUGGUUCUUUACCCACUGAGCCACCAUAGAUAAAGAACUCAACUCCCAAUGAGACCCGUUUUGAACUUCAAACCUCUGUAGCUACAAGAUAAUAAAUCUAUGUUGUUUUAAGCCACGGAACUUGUAGUUUUGGUCACAGCAGCCAUAGGAAGUUAAUUUAAAUGUUGGUGUCUGGAAGUGGAGUGCCACCGAAGCAGAAAAAAAAAAUUUUUUUUAAUGUGAGUGUACUUUUAGAAUUGGGAAGGCAGAGGAUGAAAAAUUUGAUGAGUAUGACAGAAAAAGCCUAAACUGCCUUGAAAAUAGUCAGCAGAAAUGCUGAAGUUAAUGACUGUGUUAGUGGGGGCUCAGACGGAAGAGAGGGUCACAACAGAGAAAACAAAAUCUUAUUGGAGAAUGUCAAAGUCAUCACGAACAGACAGAUGGUGGGCAGAAAUAUGAUGUUUAAGGCACUGUCGGGGGGGACAGAAGAAAAUGAGGAAUCAAUUAUUGGAAACCAAAGGAAAGAGGGUGCUUUGGGGUUUUUUUGGUGUUUUAUUUUGUUUCGGUUUGCUUUUCAGGGUGGCAUGUGGAGGUUCCCAGGCUCGAGGUUGAAUCAGAGCUGCAACUGCCCGCCACAGCCACAGCCACAGCAACGCAGGAUCCUAGCCACGUCUGCAACCUACACCACAGCUCAGGCAGUGCUGGAUCCUUAACCCACUGAGAGAGGCCAGGGAUGGAACCCGCAUCCUCAUGGUUCCUAGGAGGACUUGUUUCUGCUGCGCCACGACGGGACCUCCCAAGAUGGUCCUUUUUCUACAGUGACAGAAAGGGUAGCUAAACUGUGUCCUGAAGUUAUAUAUAAAGAAAAACUUGCAAACAAAGGACUUGGGUAUUUAGUUGAGGAGAUUUCAACUGAAGUGUUGAGGUAAGGUCUGGUCUCUUCUUGUUUCUAUAGUACCAGGAAUGAUAAAGGAAAGAGAUAGGUUGAAGAGCAGUUAAGCACAAAGGAACCAGAACUUGGAGUUCCCAUCAUGGCUCAUCAGAAGCGAAUCCGACUAGUAUCCAUGAGGACACAGGUUCGAUCCCUGGCCCCACUCAGUGGGUUAAGGAUCCGGCAUUAUCAUGAGUUGUGGUAUAGGCCACAGAUGCAGCUUGGAUCUGGCAUCACUGCAGCUGUGGCAUAGGCCAGUGGCUACAGCUCCGAUUUCACCCCUAGCCUGGUAACCUUCAUAUGCUGUGNAAAAAAAAAAAAAAAAAAAAAAAAAAAAAAAAAAGGGAACCAGAACUUGGGGAAAUUUUAGCUAAUUCAGAUUGCAAAAGACCUAUUGGAUAAAUCUUUUUUUUUGUCUUUUUAGGGCUGCACUCACAGCAUAUGGACAUUUCCAGGCUAGGGGUCGAAUUAGAGCUGCAGCUGCUGGCCACAGCCACAGCCACAGCAACUCGGGAUCCAAGUGGCGUCUUCAACCUACACCACAGCUCAUGGCAAUGGCUGGAUCCUUAACCCACUCAGCGAGGCCAGGGAUCAAAUCCUCAUCCUCAUGGAUACUAAUCAGGUUUGUUACCACUGAGCCACAGAGAGAACUCUGAAUAAAGCAUUUUUUUAAAGUCCUAAAAAGUGGAGGAAUACAUUAUGUUCAUGGAUUGAAAAAUGUAAUGAUUAAUUCUCUACAAGUUAAUCGUUGUGAUUUUCAUCAAUAUUCCGGGAGGAUUGCUAUAAAAAUUGACAAGCUGCUUUAAACAUUUUAAAUGGAAACAUAGGGUCACGAAACGUCAAGGCAGUCUUGAAGGAGAACAAAGCUGGAGGAUUUAUGGUGUCAGAUAUGAAGAUAUAUGAAGAGGCGACAGUAAUUAGACAGCAUAGUAUUGACAUUAGAUAGACAAAUAGGCCAAUGGAAUGGGAUAGAGGGCCCAGGAAUGCAGCGCACAUAAUAGGCACUUAAAAUGGGAAUGGCAAGGCAGAGGAAAAGAUGGCCUUUGAAUAAAUGGUAUUUGGGUCUGUUAGACAGCGUCAUGAAUCUGGACCCUUCUAUCACAAAAUACCUGCAAAUCGAUUCCAGAGAGACUGCAGAUCUACAUAUGAACAGGAGAACAAUAAAGCUUUUAAAAGAAAACACAGGAGAAUAUUUUCAUCAACUCAGGACUGACAAAGGUUUAUUAAGCGGGACACACGAGAAUCACAAAGGUUGAUACAUCGGACUGUAUGUACCUUAAAAAUGUUUGUUCGUCCAAAGACAACCAUUAAAAAAGUGAAAAGACAAGACACAGAGCAGAAAAGCUAACCAACCUAAGGGUCGUUUCGGAAUAUGUCUUAUGAAUAAAUAAGAAAAAAGACUGGCCACCUAAGCUUUUUAAUGGGUAAAUGACUGGAGCAAGCACUUUAGAAAAGGCCAGUAAACACAUGAAAAGACACUCAGCUUCUCAAAUCAUUAAGGAGAUAGAAACUGAAUGACUGUAAAAGACUGAAAAUAGGGAGUUCCCAUUGUGGCGCAGUGGUUAACGAAUCUGACUAGGAACCGUGAGGUUGCAGGUUCCAUCCCUGGCCUCGCUCAAUGGGUUAAGGAUCCGGUGUUGCCGUGAGCUGUGGUGUAGGUCGCAGAUCCCUAGCCUGGGAACCUCCAUAUGCUGCGGGAGUGGCCCUAGAAAAGGUAAAAAGCCAAAAAAAAUAAAUAAAUAAAAAGACCGAAAAUAUACCAAAUGCUGAAAAUCUGUAUAUCCACACACUAACCAAGACCUCGUGAAGGGUGGAGUGGCUUUCCCCCCUCCCUGGUUUCGACCAUGCGACUUGUAUUAUCCACUGGGAUGCUAGUGGACAUUCCUGUGAGCAGAAACUUGAAAAUGUGCUUUUGCAGUUAGGCAUAUCAUUUUGGUUCCAGCCUUGAGAAGAAGCUUGGUUGAACCUUAAGAUGAAUGUGCCUUGAGGGACCUCUGAUCCAAGAAGGAUGGGACAUACAAGGAGCAGAUCUGAACCCGGUGUUCAGCUUGGAACCAAGUCCAGCUGAGUCCACCUUAGAGUAGCAGCACCUCAGCCACUGUUGAAAUAACAGAUGAUUGAUAUACAUAUUCUCUACCUAGUAAAGCUCAACAUAUGUCUCCUCCAUGACUCAGCAACCCCACUGCCGCAUGCAUUUCCUAAAUAGAUACCUCAUGGAGAUACAGGCAUAUAUGCACCAAAUGAAUAGGAGUUGCUCAUUGGAACAUCUUUCAUAAUAGCCAAACACUAGAAAUAACUCCAAUAUCCCUCCAUUCAGAAUGAUAGGUAAAUGGUAACAUGCAUACACAAUGAACACUGCGUAGCAAAGAAGAUGAACAAACUACCACAUAUUUACCAACACAGAGAAAUCUGAACAAACAUUAUCUUAAACAACAACCAAAAAAAUCGGUCUCAAAUAAUUCAUAUGGUAUCAUUCUCUUUAUACAAAAUUUAAACUAAUUUGUGGAGUUAGAAGUCAAAAUAGGGGUUCUUUGGGAAGUAGGACGCUCAAGAGUACAGAGGGGUGUCAGGCAGGGCCUAGCUCUUGAUCUUCAUAGUGGUUUAGGUGGGUUCAUUGUGGGAAAAUUCAAGAAAGUACACGCUUGCUAGACGUACAGUUUUAUAAACAUAUGUUAUAUUACAAUAAAAUAAAAAUUUUCUUAUGUACUCCUUUAUAGUUUGU